rnacentral:tRNA from 1 species
GGAGAGGUGCCCGGAGCGGUUCAACGGGGACCGGCGAGAGGUCGGGUCCGCGAGGACCCACGCAGGUUCGAAUCCUGCCCUCUCCG